GUCUUUGUAGCGCAACAGAUAGCGCGUUGGACUUCUGAUCCAAAGGUUAUGCGUUCGAAUCCCACCAGGGAUG